rnacentral:tRNA from 1 species
GUUUCAGCAGCGUAGUGGUUAGUGCACAGCCCCGGAUAGGUUGAGACGCGGGUUCGAAUCCCGCCUCAGAUG